UAGGGAAUAUUGCACAAUGGGCGAAAGCCUGAUGCAGCAAUGCCGCGUGUGUGAAGAAGGCCUUAGGGUUGUAAAGCACUUUCAAUAGUGAAGAAAAGCACAAGGAUAAUACCCUUGUGUCAUGACGUUAACUAUACAAGAAGCACCGGCUAACUCCGUGCCAGCAGCCGCGGUAAUACGGAGGGUGCAAGCGUUAAUCGGAAUUACUGGGCGUAAAGCGCGCGUAGGCGGUUUUGUAAGUCGGAUGUGAAAGCCCAGGGCUUAACCCUGGAAUUGCAUCCGAUACUGCAUGACUAGAGUAUGGUAGAGGGAAGUGGAAUUUCAAGUGUAGCGGUGAAAUGCGUAGAUAUUUGAAGGAACACCAGUGGCGAAGGCGACUUCCUGGGCCAAUACUGACGCUGAGGUGCGAAAGCGUGGGGAGCGAACAGG
rnacentral:rRNA from 1 species